rnacentral:tRNA from 2 species
GGGCGGCUAGCUCAAUUGGCAGAGCAACGGACUCUUAAUCCGUGUGUUCGGGGUUCGACUCCCCGGCCGCUCACCA